ensembl:lncRNA
AGCGUCCUCUAUUGAAAUUUCAGCAACUGCGUUUGACUUGAAUCCUGAUCCCUCGCUCUACUUGUUAUUGAAAUAAAGGGACCUCAGACGUUACCUAGAGAGGCGCUGCGGAACGGGUCGUAGGAACGUCGGGUCCCCCCCCCCCCAGCAAUCUGAGCCCAGCAGUUUUACCUUGCUCGACUGUGUGCGGAGCUACGGAGGAGGAAAAGCUGACACGGUGGCUACACCGAGGUGCUGAUAGUGAAAUCCCAUUAGCUGCCCUCCCACUGACGCCCAACUGACAUCAAUGGGACGAGCCAAAGCAGUUUCAGCCAAGACGGAGGUGGAAGAGGGAACGAAAAGAGCCGUCAAAGAACGAGCCGCGGGAAAGCGAGCGAACCAUUAAAAGAAGAGGAGGAGAAGGGGAAUGCCAGCUCCUACGUGGCCACCAAUUUAGAAUGGUUUCUGGUCAGGGGAAGUGGCAGGAGUGGAUGCCCAAAUUAGAGAGGGUCUGGUCGGAUCUCAUGGAACCCUGUCAUCCUCAGCGAGCAGCAUUCCGGCGAGCGAGGAGC